rnacentral:misc_RNA from 1 species
UCCUCAUAUCAACAAUGGCUACCCCCAACUCCCUCCAUAUCGUCAUGCUCCCAUGGUCUGCGAUGGGCCAUCUCAUUCCAUUCCUUGAACUCUCCAAGCGUCUCGCCUGCUGCGGCCACCGCAUCUCCUUCCUCACCACUCCCCGCAACGCCGCCCGCCUCCUUCCCAAAAUCCCCCUCUCCCUCUCCUCCCUCCUAACCCUCGUCUCCAUCCCCCUCGACCACGAUUCCACCCUCCCCGAAUCCAUCCAAUCCACCAACGAUCUCCCCUCUGAGGAAUUCCGCAACCGCCUCCACGCCGCCUAUGACAUCACCUUCGCCCGCGAGCUCCCCAACUUCCUCCGCCGCUCUCCAGCCGACUGGAUCAUCUAUGACUUCUCUGGUCACUGGGUCCCCCGCAUCUCCGCAGAAUUCAGAAUCUCAUGUGUCUACCUCUGCCUCUUCAACGCCGCCGCUCUCUCCUUCUUCGGCCCGUCAUCCUCCCUCCGCGGGGUGGGGACUCCACGACUGUCACUGGAGCAAUGGACGAAGGCGCCAGAGUGGAUCCCUUUCCCCACCAAAGUCGCAUUCAAAACUUACGAAAUCAGGGAGCUGUUAAGCGCCACCAGAGAUUCCGCUGGUGCCGGCUUCGCGGAGGCGAUCGACGGCAGCCCGUUCGUGGCCAUUCGGAGCUGCACCGAGCUGGAGGGGGAGUGGCUUGACGUGCUCUCCAAGAUUCAUGAGAAGCCGGUGGUACCGGUUGGGCUCUUCCCGCCAUCUGACGAUGAAACUGGCACGUGCGAGGGGUGGGCUAGCACGUGUGAGUGGCUCGACCGGCGGGAACCGGGUUCGGUGGUUUACGUGGCGUUUGGGAGCGAGGCGAAGCUGAGCCCGGUUCAGGUGAAGGAGAUCGCUGAUGGACUGGAGAUGAGUGGGUUGCCGUUUGUUUGGGCCCUUCGGGCCGGGUCGGAUUUGCCUGAGGGGUUUGAGGAGAAGAUCAAGGAGAUGGGAUUGGUUUUGGGAUAUUGGGUCCCGCAGGUUCGGAUCUUGGGUCACCGAUCCGUUGGUGGGUUUUUGACGCACGGGGGGUGGAACUCAAUUGUGGAGGGGUUGAGCGCGGGAGCAGCGAUGGUGAUGCUGCCCAUGCUGUUCGAACAGGGGCUUAAUGCGAGGGGGAUGGCGGAGAAGGGAAUUGGGGUGGAAGUUAAGAGAGACGAGGAAGACGGGGGGUUUAGCGGAAAAAAUAUUGCAGAGAGUUUGAGGUUGGUGAUGGUAGAUGAGGAGGGGGAGGGGUUGAGGAUGAAAGCGGGAGAAUGUAAAGGAUUGUACGGAAACGAGGAGCUUAAUGAGAGGUAUGUUGCGAAGUUUGUGGAGUGGUUGAUGGAGAAAAG